rnacentral:lncRNA from 1 species
UUCCGAUGCAUCCCAUAGUCGGUCUAAACAUGUAAGUGCCAUAUCAACUCAUGUCUGCUUGUCCUUCAAUAUAAUAUCGAAAAAAAAAACAAAAAAAAAAAGACCGAUAUUACGCACUAUCCAAAUAAGAAAUCAAAGAAUUACACCAUACCCCACCAGUCAAAUUAAUAAAUAAAUCAACUUUGUAUAUUAUCUCUAGCUAGCUAGAGGGCUUAAAGAGUACUGAAGUAAAAAAUCUCUCCGGUGCUAUGGCGACCGCUUCCGGUCAGUGGCCCUCACCCGGGCUAGGACCAGAGUUUUUGAAGGCGACACCAGGGUAAGCGUGGCCCUUCCCUCCAGGGCUCGGACCUCCUUCGGCCUUGAUCACCCCGACGUACAACUCCUCGAUCAACACUUGGAUCCCCUUCUUCACGGUGCCACCGGAGACAGAAGCCGCGACGACAUUGCUCAGGGGCCGAGCUUCUGACACAAGGAGCGACGAGCUCACGAACAGCGCCAGAAGCAAGAGGACGCAUGCGGCAGCGAAGCAACUCUUGGUGUUUCUCGCCAUUUUGCAAAAAGGAAGACAAGGCAGAAGAAGGAUGGUCUCUACGUAUUGGCAAAAAUUGACGGGAAAAAGUGAAGUCCGGCGAUGUUUCUCCGGGAUUGCGUUUGAGCUGAAGGACCCAGGUGUGGAUGGGUAUAUAUAAGGAUU